rnacentral:lncRNA from 10 species
CACUGUGAAGAAUCUGAUAGUCGAACUGAAUGAAGCCAAGUCCAGUCUUUACGGAAAAAUUUACACAACACUUCCAGCAGUGACCUGAGAAGCUACGUAUUGACACGGCGCUACCACGGGUGGAGGAGCCUGCAUUGCUGAAUCACAGGAUGAAGGCGAAUCCCUGCCAGCCUCCAUCCAUCUCUGGGGUGCUUAGCAGAAUCCUCAGCUCACAAGAUGAAUAAAUGCAGACUAAAUGAUGCACAAAUAAUCUUCACACACAACCAUCAACACAUGGAAAGACUGCAGGACGGCCAGAUCCCAAGCUAACAAACAGGGGAAGAUGAUGUUUCAAAUGAUCAUCUGAAUGCUGGGUUUCCACCUUCCACCAGGAAGUCAUAUGGUAAAAAGAAAAAAAAUGGCAUUAUGAUACAAACAGAAAAUGUAACAGUGGAGUGCAGAAAAUACAAAAAAAAGGAAAAAAUAAAUAGAAAAUCUUCAAAGAGGCAAUCUGUUUAAAUCUUCAAGAACUGGAAACAGUAAAAGUGAACAGGUUUUUAUUGAGCAUGUCAAUAAAAUGUUUGCAUAAGACUUUACAAGUGCUUUAUUUCAUGAGGUUUUUAUUAUUGAUCAAAGCAACGAAAAUGAACGGGAAAUUCAUUCUCAUCAAAUCUACAACUUGGGAGGAGGUCCGAUGAAAUCCCUGGAAGCUCACAUUUUUUAUAAAUGAAGAGUUAAUUACCGGUGGGAACAAUGAGAACCUCUGUGGUUCUUCCUGAUGCUUGGAUCCUCCCAGACCUCUGUUUCCAGUCUCCUUCUCCACAACCUGGCCUAUGCGAUGCAAGUGGUCUAACUGAUCUCCGCCUAGGGAAGGAUCCUUCGGCAACUUGCCGACAAGAGAAGCAGCGAUGCCCGAGGCAGGUCCAAAGGAGCACUGACUGCGUGGGAUUGAUUACACUGGAGGAACAAAAGGUCCUGUGGCUACACAAGUUUGAAAAGCAGAAGGUACAAUCAUUGUAUUUCUGGCAGACUUUUCAAAGACUUUAAUAUAUGAAUCCCUCAUAUGAAUCUCCUGGAGGAUUAUAUAAUAGGCAGAUCUCCCAGCCAUUUUCACUGAACAGUUCUUAGAAUUGGUAUCCUUGAAAAAUUUCACCUAACCACUCAAUAUGGUAGCCACUAGUCCUGGGUGGCUAUUGAGCACCUGAAAUUUGCCUAGUCUGAAUUAAGACACAUUCUAAGAAUAAAGCACACUGUAUUUCAAAGGCAGUACAAAAAUAAAAAAGAAUGUAAGCUGUCUCAAUAAUAAUUUUUGUAUUGAAUACGUGUUGAAAUGAUGUUAUUUUUGAUAUAUUGAGUGAAAUAAAUUGUAUUGCUAAAAUGA